UUCAAACUCAUCAAGAUGAUCUAGCGGAUCCUCCAUUAGCAGGCCAUGAAACUUGUUCCCCUGAACCAUAGCAAUGAGACCGCUUUUGAUCUCAAAGUUGUUGUUCUGUACUGGAGGUGGAACGAUUCCAUGACGCUGGUUGUGGUUGUGAGGGAAGUCACCAGCACCAAUGUUGGUAGGUUGCUCUUGCUCAUCUACAACGUCAGCCAUUGUGUCUGUUUCUGUCUGUUCUCUUAGUUGGCGAGCAAUACGGUCGAUGUUAUCGUUGAAUAGCAGGUUCUGAUUUCCUUGUGACCGUGUAUGCAUGCAACAGAUAGCAGCCGUGCUAUAACAGACGAAUCAGAGAUGCGUCUGGAAAGCAGGUUGCAAGGUACCUGAAACACAAAGACAGAAAAGGCACAAUGUUAGUAACUUGUGUAACAAAAACGAACUUGAUCUUAAUGUUUCUAAUGAUCUCAAAUAUAGCAAACAAACACCAAACUGGCAACGGCGCCAAAUUGAUAGUAGGAUUUUACUCAAUUAAUCCCUAAAACACUAUCUUGUCGUUGUAGUAUUUUAGGAUGUCAAUCCAAUCCGGUGUGAUGCAAACAGAUGAGAUAUGAUCAGAAAGCUCUAAGUCAAGCCAAGCAGAAAGUUGGUUGGUUCUAACAGUCCUAGUAUGCAAUAACAGAAAUGAAGUGAAACUAAAAGCAGGAAUGGCAAUAGCAGGCAAGUGAAUGACAAAGCAGAAAUGAUAACAGGCAAUCAAAUGGAUAAACGAUUCCUAAGGAUGGGGUAAUCGAAUAGUGUGGUCUACUUAAUCUAUUCAGUCGGUUGACAAAACUUCACAGAACCUAUCCCUAGACAACAAGUUCAACAACAGAUUAAUUCACUCCCGUGAUAGAAAUCCUCAAGCAAAGCUAGACACUGACCUAAAUCCCUUUAGCGAUCUCUAACUAAGCAGGCAUUAUCGAAUCAACAUGUUAAAGUCAAUACCCUCUCUACAGCCAAUCCCUUGGGGUAGAGUCAGAUAUCUCUGGAAUUAAUAGGAUCCAACGCCCAUUAAACGCCUUUUGAGCGCUGGACGUCUGGACUCAUACUCCACAUUAGCCAGUGAAAUAAGCAAUAAGCGCAACUAAUCCAGAAGGGAUUCUAGAAUUCUAAACUCAACCACCUAAAACGACCAAGUAAACCACAACUAUUCUAUCCCAUCCUCAGAAAUACAGUUCACUACUCAGACAUAAUCAAAGACAAUAACAAAGCAACAAUUGAAAACAUGAUAACAGAAAUGACGAAAGACUUAAACGAAAACUGAAUAUCAAAUACUUGAGAACGAAACUACAAAGUCGCAGGAGAAACACUGCGGCUAUCAAAGUUGCGAAAAUGUAAAAGCGAAAUAAAACGGAUAAUAGCGGAUGCUAGCCGACGCCCUAGGAAAACCCUAAGAGGUAGUUUAUAUAAGCGAAAAAAUGAAACAAAUAAGGAAACUAAAUAUAUAGCGAAUCUUCACGUCAUGAUCCUGCGACCGAAUGUGUCAUUGGCAUCUGACGGGCUGAAAUGAGCUUCCUAGUGAUCGAGUAUGUCAUUGAUCAAACUGGGCUUCAGGGGCUCCGUCUUGCGAUCGAGUGAAAUGCAGUGAAGUCGAGAUUGAAUGGUCCAGCGACCUUGUGAUCGAGUGCGAUCGAGUGGAUGUCAUGAGGGUGUGAUCGAGUGGUUUCGAUGGGGUGAUUCCUCCGGCUUCGCGAUUGAGUGAAACUGAGCUGUUUGCUUCUCCGGGGUUGCGAUAGAGUGAUUUGCCCUAGCAGGGCUCCGAGGCUGCGAUAGAGUACUUUUGCUGAAGGCGUCAUUGGGCAUUCUGAUUUUCCUCUGUUUGAACUCCAAAAGCAUCCAAAGUACCUGAAAACAACCAAAUAUGCCAUGCACAUGCAAUCCUAAUGCAAAAUCGUCCAAAGUAUGUAAAACACACUAAAACGACUCCUAAUGAGAUGAAACGUGGAUGAAACAAUGACAAAGUGGUGAAGAAUGAAUGCCUAAAUCAUGAAAAUUAUAGACAUAUC
rnacentral:sRNA from 1 species